rnacentral:lncRNA from 1 species
ACAAUUCAUUGCUUACUAGACCUAUUCCGAGUCAACUCAACCGGGUAAACUAAACUCAACAUGAGCACAAGGAGCCACUAGUCCUUCACAUCAACACCGGUUUUGUGAUCACCAUCCUCAUCAUCUACAGGCCCACAUUCCGAAUUCGAGCUAGCAUCCAAGUCCUUCUCCGGCGAGUCAAGCUGCACACACUCAGCAACCGAGUGAGACGGUGAGUUGUAUUCCGAGUCAUGGCUUCUGUUAGACGGUGUCACGUCUCCUUUCCUCACCACAUUAAACACAAUCCCGUUAUGUAUCCUCUCCGGCUGAAGAAGAUCGCCUGCAGCCACCGUGAUGCUACCACUACUACUACUGGUAUGGACCCGGUUGUUAGGGGUGUUUUCCCGUUGAUCGGCUUCGGGAUCCGAACUUCUCUCAGGCGGUACCACACGCAAGUUUUGGAAACUCCUGAGCGCCUUGUUCAUUUUCGAGUCCGUAUCUAGGUUCUGAACGAACUCGACGAACUGAUCCGCAGAAGUCGUUCUCAUCAACGGCCCACCAGAUCUCGUCCACGUAUUCAACUCCGCACUCUCUGACUCGCUAUCGCUCCCGUCGUGUAUGCGGUGGUGCCGCCAGUUACGACCGCCGUAGUGGAGGGUGGCGUCUGCUAGAUCUUCUUCUAGAGAUCCUGUUGAAUUCUCUCGUGCUAUACAGUUCCACGACGGUAUUCGUUUCGAUGCGUUAAACCGGACACUGUUUGAUCCACCGUGAGAAGCCGCAGCCGCGCGUUCGGCGCUUCGUUUCAACCUACGCAUGUGGUUUAGAAUCGCGACACACUCGUCAAGCGCGAGCUCGAUCCCGCAAUUGGCUUUUAUGGCAGAAAGCUUCUCCCAUGUGCAUCUUCGGCCUUGAUUGGCGGCUUUUUGAAGCUCCAAAUGAGACGGAUUUUGUAUGAUCUUCGAGUACUGGCAUAACGACGGUAACAUCGCCCUCCCAAUCUUGAGCAAAUAGCUUUGCAAGUCCUCCUAACGGAAAACCGAGUUCCAGAACUUGAUUGCAUCGGUGUUUCACUUCCAUUUCGACAAGAUGUGCAAGCUACAACAAGAUCAUAUAAUAUUUAAAAAAAAAAGAAAAUAUAAAAAAGCACAAAUUUUAACAGUAUAGAUUUGCAGGAAUGUACCUUUGCGGCAAAAUUGCCCCCGUAAGCUCUCACGAACUCUUUAAACCGGAGUAAAGGCGCGAUAUGUGGAUUUGCUUGACUAACGAUAAAAUGAUUUACAUUAAAAAGCUCUUUCAACUGAAUCAUGGGCAAAUCAAUCUCCAAACUACCGUCCCUCCAACGCCUGACAGACGUGCCAGUAGCUUCCUCGGGGCCCCAAUGAAAAGGCGGGUGAUACGGUACAAUUUCACCGCUUCUAUCCUUUGCCAUAAGUUCUUGAGCUUCAAAAGGCCAGGGAACGCACAAGAAGCGGUAACCGCGCUCCAUAUAACCACGUGAGGUGAAGUCAAGUAGUUUAAACAUCUUGGCGGCUCGUGUUUUCUUGGGGAACAUACGGUUAUACCAAGAACACGGCCCGUCAUAUCGUAAGCUUCUUGAAACGUAAGAUUAUUUGUUAAGUUUCGUAACAGAACUUGUAAAUGUCUAAUGUCGUGAAGCGCUCCUUGCGUCAUAACCCUUUUGAAAACAUUGAAAAUUCC